AAUAGAUACCCGGGUAGUCCACGCCCUAAACGAUGCUCACUAGGUGUUGGGGGAAGCGAUUCCUUGGUACCGUAGCUAACGCGUGAAGUGAGCCGCCUGGGGAGUACGGCCGCAAGGUUAAAACUCAAAGGAAUUGACGGGGACCCGCACAAGCGGUGGAUGAUGUGGAUUAAUUCGAUGCAACGCGAACAACCUUACCUACCCUUGACAUGUCCGGAAGCCUGCUGAAAGGUGGGUGUGCUCGAAAGAGAACCGGAACACAGGUGCUGCAUGGCUGUCGUCAGCUCGUGUCGUGAGAUGUUGGGUUAAGUCCCGCAACGAGCGCAACCCUUGUCCCUAGUUGCUACGCAAGGGCACUCUAGGGAGACUGCCGGUGACAAACCGGAGGAAGGUGGGGAUGACGUCAAGUCCUCAUGGCCCUUAUGGGUAGGGCUUCACACGUCAUACAAUGGACGGUACAGAGGGUUGCCAACCCGGCGAGGGGGAGCCAAUCCCAGAAAGCCGUUCGUAGUCCGGAUCGCAGUCUGCAACUCGACUGCGUG
rnacentral:rRNA from 1 species